GGAGGUCGCGAGGUCCCGCAGCCCGCCUGGGCGCCGCGGGUUAGCCGCGCUGAUUCGCCCGCUUGCCGGAGUGGGUGGGGGUGGCGGGCGCCCCAGUGCUGCCCCAGUCUGGUUCCUAGUCUCUGCCGAGGCCCCCGAGCUGGAAGCCGAGCCCGAGGGCCGCCUCGGCGCCUCGCUCCCAAGGCUGCUCCCCCUGGGGAGGAAGGCCGGCCUGGAAUGGGUACCCUCUGGCCUGGCACUCGGACUGGGCGUGGCCCGAGCCUCGGCGGACCCUCGGAAGCCCAAGCGGGCUUCGGAGCAACGGUAGGGAGCGGGGCAGAGGAAGCCGCCAGGGUCGACCCCCACCCACUCACCACGGCCUCCAGCCCACCGCAGCUGGACCUUUUUUCCUUUGAAAAGGCAGGCAGUUCAGGAAUGAAGGAGCUCGAAGAGAAAUCUCUGGAGCACUCCAUCUCCCACCCCCAAAAGAGGUUUUAGAAAUCAUUUCUUUAGCUGCAGGCGGGCAUAAAACCAUCUACCAUCAAUGGGCCCCCUCAUCCCCUUGCUUUUAACGUAUUACAUUCCUCUACAUAAUUAUUUAAAGUCACGGGCGGAACGGACUUAAGGUUUUGUUAGUUUUGUUUUUUGUUGUUUUUUUUUAAGACCCCAGCCUCAGAGAUUAUUUAGCCAAUCUCUGACCUCAAAGCUGGACAAAGCACACAACCUCUGUGCUCUGUGCCCAGUCCUUUGAGUUUGACACAUGCUAGGCAGGAAAAAGGUAUGAAAAGAGUGGACGUAGAGGUGAAGGGAAGAUGUUAAAUCUUAAGUAUUUACAAGAUAGUGCCUUAUAAAUUUUCUUAUAAUGUGACUCAGGCUGGGACUGGUUAGAGGUCACAGAGGGACGCUCCACUUCACGAUAGCCCUGUGAGUUACGUACUGUUGCUCUCAUUUACGGAUGAAAAAACUAGGGUUCAGAGUUAGUGCAUUUUACCCCAAUCUGGCUGAUGCUACAAGGCCCAGGUAUAAUGGAUAGAGGACUGGAUUUCAAGUCAAAAGAGCCCUACCUGGUUUUGGCGUUUAUCAACAUGAUGCCUUUGAGCAAAUGUACCCUCUUGAGUUUCCUCAUCUGCAAAUUCUUAAUCUGUAUCCCUGCUUCGCUUGACUAGCCUGGAAACAAAGAAAAAAUCCCUACUUCACCCGGCUGAAAGCCUAAAGCCUAUAGAGACACUAAGAAGAUACCGACAUGCCCUUCAAUUCAGUGAUAGCAGUGUCCUUAGAACAAGUUCAAUUGAGUAAACAUUUCCUAAUUACUUAAGAGCAAAGCGUUGUUAGGUGCCUAGGGAAACAAAGACAAAUCAUUGCUUCCUGUCUCCAAAAAGUUCCCCAUUGAGCAAGCAGGUGAGCUACAAUAAAAGCAACAGGUCUUAUUAACAAAGGGCUGGGCAAAUCCAGAGGAGAGUGUGAUAAAUUCCACUUUGGUGAGACUUCCGUGGAAGAACUAAAAGCUGGACCUUGAAGAUCUGUCUGCUGUGUGCCAGACACAUGUCUGUGAUUCAGAGGGCAGCAUUGACUCUGGAGUGUGCAGAAGAUAAUGAAUCUGGAAAAGAAAACUGGGGCCAGACUGAAAAUUUCAGUGCCUCUCUGCCCUUAUCCCCUCCAGAUACUCUCUUCUACUACCUUGCUUAUUCCCCAAGACCCAGCUCAACCUCUACCUUCUUUAUUAAAUCUUCCUGAUUACCACCCCUCCUCUGCACUCCACUGAAUGUGAUCCCUCUAUUCUCUGAAUUCCGUGACCCCAAUAGAUUGUACACUUCAGCACAGAUACUUACAAGGUAUUCCUUCUGAUACCUACAUAGUUGUCGAGUUGAAAAUUUUGACAACUAUAAUUUUAUCAUCACAGCUAGAGCAAGUAUGGUUCUGACACAAAGAAUAAGGAAAUUUAUGGAGUAUAAGGUUUAAUUCAUGCCCAGGGUCAUACAGUAAGUCACAGGCUGGACUAGAAUACCAGCCCUGUAUUCUUCCCAUUGAACCACAGGUUUUUGAGAUAUAAAAUGGUAAAUGUCUGAUUUCUAUGUAAAAAUCCUCUGAGGACUUAAACUUUCAAGGGAAAUCUCAUGAUUGUGGUUAAGCCUCCAGUCUGGAAGUUCUGAAAACUUAGUUUCAUCCAAACCCAGGUGAAAAUAACUUGCAGUAAAAAUCUUAUUUCAUUGUAUCUCAUGAGGAAUAUAAUUACUCAGUGGAUCAAUAUUCAUAUUCUGUUGUCUUCCUAGGUGAAUAAGAAAACUUAGUAAAAAACUAAUAAUAUUGAAUGAAAAGGUGACUUGGUAAGUAAAAUUAUAACAAGAAAGGUGCCUAGUCCCAGCACUUUGGGAGGCCGAGGUGGGCAGAUCACUUGAGGUCAGGAGUUCAAGACCAGCCUGGGCAACAUGGUGAAACCCCAUCUCUACUAAAAAUACAAAAAUUAGCCAGGCAUGGUGGUGGGUGCCUGUAAUCCCAGCUACUCAGGAGGUUGAGGCAGGAGAAUCGCUUGAACCCGGGAGGCAGAGGUUGCAGUGAGCCGAGAUCAUGCCUCUGCACUCCAGUCUGGGUGACAGAACAGGACUCCAUUUCAAGAAAAAAGAAAGGUGCCUAAGUCUGUUCAAACCAAGUUUUGCUGUUUGAUCAUAAAGGGCCCUGUAUGCCACUGGAAAAAAAGCAGGCUUUAUAUUAUAGUUAUUGGGGAAUCACUGAUCACUUGUAAGCAGAGAUAAAUACAAUCAGACCUGCUAAGCUGUUUCUCUGAGCCCCAUUUUUUUUUUUCCUGUGUACUUGAUUUCUCCAAGGAGAGAGACUAUAGGCCCUGGGUGAUAAUGAUCUCUAGUGAAAAACAGUGCAUCACCCCCAUGAUGUGGUCCUAACCAAGUCUCCUUUACCUUUGUAUUUUCAGCACCCAGCAUAAUCCUGACACAUAUAGAAAGCACUCAGAAAUUGCUUGUUGACACUCUAAAUUGUCUAUAAAGCAUAAGAUAUGGUCAGUGUCUAAAAUUUUUGUGAUUCUUGCAAAGAUCAUGACAAUACCAAAGCUCUUGAGGUGUGUGCUCACCUCAAGAUAGUGUAAAGGAUUUACUUCUCUUUGUCUGUUUGCAUUCUUAAAAGUCAAUGAGAUGAAAAUGUGUAAAAAUGCCUAUUUCAUAGUAAAUGUUCCACACAAAUGAAUUCCCUUUCUUCUUAAAAUUUAGUUUCUUCUCAUCUGCCCCAUUUGGAUUUCAUGUGCCCUUAGACUCACACUAGCACAUGUGUGUACUUUCUACCUGUUGAUUCCAUUUCAUCUGUCCUGAGGAUUCUAUGCGUGGAAUUUUAAACUACAGCCACACCCUGCAGCUUACUUCAUUGAAACAUUAGAAACAGUCAGUUUUUCUUAAGGUGGCAUUUUUUUAAGUGAAUAAGAUUUUAGAAUUUAAAAGGACAUUAGCGUUCAUAAAGUUAGAGAUAUCAAGAACAUAUAUACAUGGCAGAAGAUGAUGCUAUAAAGUUAGACUAGGACCGCAUCAUUGUUAAAAAAGCAAGUUUUUAUUCUGAAGUUAAUGGGCAAUCAUGGAACAUCUGUAAACAAGGAGAGAGAUGUUCAGACUUGCCUUAUACAGCAGGUGUUCGUCUGACUUCUGUUUGUACAUUCAUAGCUAUAGAGAGCUCAUUCCUUACCAAAUCUGCCUGUUCCAGGAAAAAGAAGUACUUCCUCAACAGAGCUGGACUUUUCCUUCUGUGAUACAUAUUUGUUGGUAAUCCUGACCUUAGGAAUAACAUCAGCCUUCUUUAUACAUAAAAAUGAGGGAGCCAGGCAUGAUGGCUCACACCUGUAAUCCCAGCAAUUUGGGAGGCUGAGGCAAGAGGAUCAAGGCCAGGAGCUUGAGACCAGCCUGGGCAACAUGGUGAGACCCCAUCUUCAAAAAAAUAAAAUUUGGCUGGGCACCAUGGCUCACACCUGUAAUCACAGCACUUUGGGAGGCCAAAGCAGUUGGAUCACUUGGCAAUCAGGAGUUCGAGACCAGCCUGGCAAACAUGGUUAAAAUUCCAUCUCUACUAAAAAAUACAGAAGUUAGCUGGGCAUAGCACACGACUGUAGUCCCAGCUACUCAGGAGGCUGAGACAGGAGAAUCACUUGAACCUGGGAGGUGGAGGUUGCAGUGGUCCAAGAUCAUGCCACUGCCCUCCAGCCUGGAUGACAGAGGGAGACUCUGUCUCAAAAAAUAAAUUAAUUAAAUUAAAUUAAAAAUUUAACCAGGAAUGGUGGUGCAUGUUUGUAGUCCUAGCUACUUGAGAGACCGAGUUGGGAGAAUCACUUGAGCCCGGGGGUGGAGGCUUCAGUGAGUUAUGAAUGUGCCUCUGCACUCCAGGCUGGGUGACAGAGUGAGACCCUGACUCUUAAAUGUAAAAAGAAAGAAAAGGGUGUGAACCAGAUAAACUAGGGCAGGAAAGGAGUCUAAAAAUCCGUAAUUCUUUUUUAUUUUAUUUUAUUUUUUUGAGACAGAAUCUCACUCUGUUGCCUAGGCUGGAGUGCAGUGGCAUGAUCUUGGCUCACUGCAACCUCUGCCUCCCGGGUUCAAGCGGUUCUCCUGCCUCAGUCUCCCGAGUAGCUGGGACUACAGGUGCACGCCACCACGCCCAGCUAAUUUUUGUAUUUUUAGUAGAGACAGGCUUUCACCAUGUUGGCCAGGCUGGUCUCAAACUCUUGACCUUAGGUGAUCUGCCCACCUCAGCCUCCCAAAGUGCUGGGAUUACAGGUAUAAGCCACUCCACCCGGCCAAUUCUUUUUUAUUUUUUUUGAGACAGGAUCUCACUCUGUCACCCAAACUGGAGUGCAGUGGGAUGAUCACAGUUUAUUACACCCUUGACCUCCUGGGCUCAAGCCAUCCUCCUACCUCAGCCCCCCGAGUGGCUGGGACUACAGGCACACACCACCAUGCCUGGCUAAUUUUUUAUUUUUUAUAGAGGUGGGGGUCUCACCAUGUUGCCCAGGCCGGUCUCAAACCCCCUUUAAGUCAGCUAAUUUACCGCCCCCCCCCCAAGUCAAAUCUCUCUCCUUUUUCUUUGAAACAAAAAUGAGAUCCAACUCCAUUCUAAACAAUCUCCCUCUGACCAAUUCAAAUGUAUUAGAACAGUCUACACUCUGAUGCACCUUUGUGCCCUACAAAAUGUAAUGCCCUCUCUCCAGAAAUAAAUCCUCACAUAUAUGGUCAAAUGAUUUUCAGCAAGGAUGCCAAGACCAUUCAAUGGAUAAGAGACAGUCUUUUCAGUAAAUGGUGCUGGGAGAAUGGAAUACCCAGAUGCAAAAGAAUGAACUUGGGCCCUGACCUUAGACGAUAUACAGAAAUUAACUCAAAUGGAUCAUAAGACCUAAAACUAUAAAACUCUUACAAUAAAACAUAGGGCAAGAGCUUCACAACAUUGGAUUUGGCAAUGAUUUCUUGGAUAUGACACCAAAGGCACAGGCAACAAAAGAAAAACUGUAUGAAAAUGUAAAACAUUUGUUUGUCAAAAGACACUAUCAGAACUGGGGGCACUGGUAUACACCUGUAGUCACCGCUACUCAAGAGGCUGAGUUGAGAGGACUCCUGGCUUGAGUCCAGGAAUCAGACUGGGCAACAGAGCAAGAGUCAGGAAGGGAGAGAAGGGAAAGAAGAAAAGAAAAAACAAAGAUAUGAUCAACGGAGUAAAAAGGCAACCUGCAAGAUGGGAGAAAAUAUUUGUAACUCAGCAACCAAAAAAAAUUGAAAAAUGUGUAAAUAACUUGAACAGAUAUUUCUCCAAAGAAGAUAUAUCAUCACUAAUCAUAAAGGAAAUGUAAGUCAAAACUACAAUGAGAUCCCACUUCACACCCAUUAGGAUGGCUAUUAAAACAAAAAGUUGAAUACCAGCCUGGGCAAGAUAGGGAGACCCCGUCUCUACCAAAACACAGAAAAUAACAAGAGUUGUUAUGAAUGUGGAGAAAUUGGAACCUUUGUACCCUCAUGGUGGAAAUGUAAAAUGAUACAGUCACUGUGGAAAACAGUAUAGUGGUUCCUCUAAAAAUUAAAAAUAGAAUUACCGGCUGGGUGUGGUGGCUCACACCUGUAAUCCCAGC
rnacentral:lncRNA from 10 species